CACUGAUGUGUGUUGUAGUCGACCAGGAGCAAGACCAAAGGGGGAAAACCCUAACUUUCACAAAAUCUCAAGAUUAGGAAGAUAAUAAGAGCCCAAAAUAAUGCAUGAACUCGAAUUUUCAACCAUCUAAGCUUGUUCAUCAAAAGGCGUGAAGGAAGAAAGCUCGAACACUAGUAAAGCGGGAGGUGUACAAGAUCGAGGUAAAACUCCACUUUAGGCGAUUUGGAGAUAUGGAGCGAGCACGUGUCCACGCUUUAUCAUACCAAGCGCUUCCGCUAGUUAUAUGCACACUUUUUGGGUCCAUGUCUUGUUAUUUUGUUUAAUCUUGUUAGAAGUCAUACACCUAAAAACUUGUUGUCUUGUUGUGGAAAGUUUAAAGUUAAAAUGGGUUGUAGAUUGUCGUUAGUUUAAUAUGUUCAAAACAGGGGGCAUGUUCGUUUUACGAACGGGUCAUGCCCAAUUUUUGUAAAAAUUUCGUUAUGCAUCAAAUUUGGUAUUUUGAUGUCUUUAAAUUCUUUUUGUAAGUAAUAUGAUUUUAUUAUGAAAAAGCGGACCUUACAUCUU
rnacentral:lncRNA from 1 species